rnacentral:rRNA from 1 species
UACGUAGGGGGCAAGCGUUGUCCGGAAUCAUUGGGCGUAAAGAGCGUGUAGGCGGCCAGGUAGGUCUGCUGUGAAAACUCGAGGCUCAACCUCGAGACGUCGGCGGAAACCAUCUGGCUAGAGUCCGGAAGAGGAGAGUGGAAUUCCUGGUGUAGCGGUGAAAUGCGCAGAUAUCAGGAGGAACACCGGUGGCGAAGGCGGGUCUCUGGGCCGUAACUGACGCUGAGGAGCGAAAGCGUGGGGAGCGAACAGG